CUCUGGUGAAAAUGCAGAAUAUUGCUUAAAUGGAGAGAGACGGCAUAAAGUACCUCGGUUUCCUCGCCCGUGAAAGACAUUUUAACAUGAAUUCACAGCACAGGAAGACAAGUCAAGGUGUACAAACAACUCCGAGUCCAUUUUCUUUUAAGCAAGCGCAGCAGAUGCAAGAAACAGGAUAAAAUCAAUGAAAGGCUGCGCCCAACAGGACGGGAAACAACCAGCGUGCAACAAAAAACAAGCUCUGCAAAUACAAAAAAAAGAGAGAAAAAUAAUAAAUGGAGUGAAGAUUGCAUUUGCUGAGAGCCAUUCAAGAUGUCUAUAAUGAGUGCCAUUGUCCCAAAGCAAUGAAAUGAAUGGCUGACACUGUUCCGCACCAUCUGUGGUCCAUCGUCACUGACUAAGUGUUCUGGAACACCAGUCCUUGCGUAGACACUUCUCCAUCCAUCAACAGUGUGCGAGGCCGCAGUGGAGGCUAUUGGGAACACGUCUGGCCACCUUGUAGCUGCAUCCACCACUACCAAGAAAUUUGUGCCCAUAAAUGGUCUGGCAAAAUCCACAAACAUUUUGCCCAGGCCGUUCCCAGGGAUGGAGGGGCGCUUCUCUUGGCAUCUUCUGGGCAUGUUGGCAUCCCGCACAGUGUAUGGCAAGCACCUUGAUCUGCUGAUCUAUUCCAAGCCACCAGACAAAACUUCAAGACAAUGCUUUCAUUUUGACCACGCCUAGAUGACCGGCAUGUAGCUCCUCCAACACUUUGGCUCUCAGCUUGGACAUUACAACAACUCUCAAUCCCCCCAUAAAGCAACUACCAACAAGGGUAAGUUCAUCCCAGUGCUGGUAAAAAAUGGGAAAGUUGGAUUUUUGCUACACAUUCCAGCCAUUUUGGCUUGCCAUGUAGAUCUGGCACAACGUGGCAUCUUUUCUGCUUUCCCGUUGAAUCUGCUCUAUGUUAAUAGGGAGACUUUCCAUUUGCUUUAGGGAGAAUAUGUCAGGAGGAGUGUCCUCUUCUGUAAAUUUUUCAGGUAUUUCCUUCUCCAAUCCAUCAGCAUUUCCAUGAUUAGUUGACCUCUUGAAUUUAAUCUUGGUAAUUGUGUCCUGUAAUAGAGCCCAUCUCUGCAUUUGUGCUGUUGCUGUUGGUGGUACACCCUUCUGUGGAUUGAAAAUGGACGCUUUGUGGUUGAUGAUAAGUAAUGAGGGUAAACUCUCUCCCAGACAAGCACUUACAGAAACGUUUUACACCCCAAACCAGCCUCAGGGCCUCUCUGUCAAUCUGUGCAUUAUCUUUCUCUGCAGCAUUAAGGGAACGUGAUUUAAAGGCUUUCAGGUUUUCACUUACAUCACUCAUAACAUGUGACAUGACCUCAUCUAUACCAUAAGGCAAGCUUCGCUGGACAAUGUGAAUCAUAAAGUGUGAGUGUAGUGUCUGACAUAACCAUUUCCUUUGUCUUUUGAAAAGCCACCUCACACUGCUUUGUCAAUUGCCAUUUCUUCCCAAUGCAUAGUAAUAAGUUCAAGGGGUGGAGCACAGUAGCCAGGUUUGGAAAGAACCUGUUGUGAUAAUUGACAAAUCCUAAAAAGGACUGCAACUGUGACACUUCCAUUUGCCUUGGGGGAUCCACCACUGCUUGAAUUUUCUCAGAGCACUUAAGUAAAUUUUUGUGUGUCAAUGGUGUGACCACAGUAAGUGAGGUUUGGUUUAAAAAUUCACACUUGUGGCAUCAUGCUCUAAACCCACAAUCUUCUAAUCUUUUUAACACUGGCUUGAGAUUUUGGAGAUGUUCCUUCUUAUCCACACUGGUAACAAUGAUGAUAUCCGGGUAACACUAAGUGUUUGGGCAGCCUUGCAGCACAUGGCCCAUAGCUUUCUGCAGAGUGUAGGUGCAGAUGCUACUCCAAAAAUAAGCCUAUUAUAGUGAUAAGGUGUUUAUGGUGAGAAACACUUUGGACUCUUCUUCCAUCUCCAUCUGUAGGUAGGCCACAGCUAAGUCCUCUUUGCUGAAGCAUUUCCCUCUAGAAAGGUUUGCCAAUAUAUCCUCUAUCCUGGGCUGGGGGUAUUGAUUUAUUUUUAGUCCUGGGAUGAUGGUGACUUUAGAAUCAUCACAGAUCCUGACUGACUCAUUCUUCUUGCCUGCUGGGAACACUGGCAUUGCCCAUGGGCUCCACUCAACCUUGCAAAGAAUUCCUUCAGCCUCCUUGCGAUCUACAUAGCUCACAGGCUUUAUCACGGAUGGUAUAAGGAACUGGAUGGGCUUUGUAAACGUGGGUGUGGCAUUUUCACUUAACACUAUUUUACCCUUGACAUGUUUGAGUUUUCCAAUGCCAUCCUUGAACACUGCUAUGGCAUCAUCCAAUUCCUUCCUUGAUAGGAUUUCAGUUGACUCUAUUGCAAGGGAUGUAGCAUGCAAAUGGUGGAUGGAUCUCCAAUCAAACUGUAGUUUUCUCAGCUCAUCAUGGCCCACAAUGCUGGUCCUCCUGUUUUUAACACUUACAAGCCCAAUUUGGCUUGUUCUCAUUGCAUUUCACUGUUAUGAAUGUCAUUUCCACAGGCAUUUUCUUUUCUCCAGUAUAAGUUCUUAAUUGGAUAUCUGCAGGUUUCAGCUCAAUACCAUUGAAAAUGCCAUUGUUCUUUUUCAAUAAUUUUUUUCUUUUUCAAAAUACUGGAAGUAUUCCAAACUUUUUCUGUACUUUUUAAAGAAAAUUUUAAGCCUAAUCCUUUGACUGUCUUGGUUGGUAUUGUUGGAGAAAAAGGCAUAACCUUGGAGACAUCAGAUUUGCAUAUAAUGACUUUUAUUUCUCUUAUAGCUAGGAGGGUGGUGUUGCUUAAAUGGAAGGAUGUUGCUCCGCCUACUCAUGCUCAAUGGUUACGUGAUGUUAUGUCAUGCUUAAAUAUAGAGAAGAUCCGCUGUUCAAUUUCUGAUUCUAACCAACACUUUCAAACAUUCUGGGGACAAUUUUUGAACUACUUUCAAAACCUUUGAUUUGGUUUUAAAGUACAGAUGUUGGCUAAUAUCAUAAAUCACUAUUCGAUAAGGAUUUUUUUCCGUCUUUCUUUCUUUCUUUACCAAACAGCUUUGACCUUGGUAGUGAGUUUAGAUUCUUUUUUUCUAAUAAAAUUAUUUCAAUUCAAAUUACGAUUUAAUUAACGUACGUGUUUGAUUAUGAAUAUAGGGUACAGCGAUUGCAAGUGUGAUUUAAAUAUAAUGUAUUCGGUACUAUUCUAUCUUUUUCUUUGA